rnacentral:rRNA from 1 species
AACGAACGCUGGCGGCACGCUUAACACAUGCAAGUCGAACGGUGCAAUGGGGCUUGCUCUAUUGCAUAGUGGCGGACGGGUGAGUAACACGUAGGAACCUGCCUGGUAAUGGUGGAUAGCUUCGGGAAACUGGAGGUAAUACAGCAUGAGCUCGAGAGAGGAAAGGCCUUAGGGUCGUUACCAGAGGGGCCUGCGGAUGAUUAGGUAGUUGGUGGGGUAAGAGCCUACCAAGCCGACGAUCAAUAGCUGGUCUGAGAGGAUGAUCAGCCACACUGGAACUGAGAUACGGUCCAGACUCCUACGGGAGGCAGCAGUGGGGAAUAUUGGACAAUGGGGGGAACCCUGAUCCAGCGAUGCCGCGUGAGUGAAGAAGGCCUUAGGGUUGUAAAGCUCUUUUGACAGGGACGAUGAUGACGGUACCUGUAGAAUAAGCACCGGCUAACUCUGUG